GCAUCACCUGUUGUGCCUCUGGAUGUAACUGGAAGUCACAAGUUUAGCAUCCAUCAUGUCUGGGCCACUUAACUAUGGUGCAUUUAUCCAUAAAUUAUUCAGGCUACACUGAAGGACCCGGUCCCAGGUGUUCCCCGAUCUUCUCUUGGGAACGUAUUAAGUGGUUAUACAUUGAUUUGAAUUCAAGUUUUUCUAGGAAAGUAUGUAGGUUGCCAGAGGUUUUCCUGUUGUGUUAGUCUGUCUUAAACAACAAAACGAAACAGAUUUUAAUACAUUGUAUCUUUGCAAUCUAUUAACCUUUAUAGUCUAGUCCACUAAUGGAAUACUAAGGACCACAUCUUGCUCUGUUCUUUUUCUGACUUUUAAAGCCACAUACUGAGCCUGAUUCAGUUUCUUUAACGUGUCUAUUGCUACCUUUUUCUGUGACGCUCCAGCUGCACCAUAGAAAUUUCAUGUGCGCGUGUUUCGCCUAAACAGAAUGUUGGUGGAACUCUG